rnacentral:rRNA from 1 species
UACGUAGGGUGCGAGCGUUAAUCGGAAUUACUGGGCGUAAAGCGUGCGUAGGCGGCCAACUAAGUCGGACGUGAAAUCCCUCAGCUUAACUGGGGAACUGCGUCCGAUACUGGAUGGCUUGGAUUUGGGAGAGGGAUGCGGAAUUCCAGGUGUAGCGGUGAAAUGCGUAGAUAUCGAGAGGAACACCUGCGGCGAAGGCGGGUUGCUGGGCUGACACUGACGCUGAUGCGCGAAAGCUAGGGGAGCGAACGGG